CCCCCAUCAAGCUGGCUCAAUAAAAGGGCGGAAAAAUGAUACCUCGACCAGACCCCACUUCGGUUCUCGACUGAGCACAUUCUCCGGUCGACCAUGAACAAGCGCAUUCUCCUUUUGCUUGCUGUGUCUUUUAUGCUACUGGUGACGGUGGCUGGAGCUAAGAAUGGCCUUGGAGCAAGAUCAGACAUUGAAGAAAUAAAGAAUGGCCUUGGAGCAAGAUCAGACCUUGUGUCAAGAAAUGAUGGUCAUGGAACAAGAACAGGAUAUAAUGGCUUUGGAGUAAGAUUUGGCCCACCAGGGUGAAAGGGGACGAAGAAUAUACUUCCCAGACCGAGGGUGAUAAUGGUGAUAAGGGAUGGUGGAAGUCAAUAAUAUCACUGCAAAACAAA
rnacentral:lncRNA from 1 species